ACCACUGAGCUAAAUCCCCAGCCCCCUGUGAUGACCUCUUAAACUGGGAAAUAAGAAGGUGUCUUUGCUUCUUUGCAAUAGUCUCAGGGUCUCCGUCUGUCUACCUGUGGUAAUAACUGAGUGAUGACAUCACCAAGGAUUUUGCAUUCUUAAGACUGCAGGUAUUUUUCCAGACUGGGCUUUGCAGUAAACCUGCCUCAGGGCCUUACUGUAACACCCUUCACAGAUGAGCACCCUGAGGCCUAGGCAGGUCAAAGGCUACGACUCAAAAACAGGGCUCUGGCUCGCCCCUCUAUACUUAUGCCAGUCGCGUGGGGGAGUGUAGUUCUCAAAGCCAACCCUGGUUUGUGGCCUGGAGCUGGGGCACCCAAGCCACACACACCCUCUGGGCCCUGGCUGGGCCAGAUGUGUCCGCCAGAGGCCACCAGGGGGCGCUGCAAUGCCGGCGACUCCCGGGUGAGGUCCACGCCUGUUCCACGGACCCAGCCUCAGCUCCUGGAGCCGGCAACUUGAGGCGGACAGGGCAGAAGCUGGGAGAUCGCUUGGCCCCGGGCAGCGCAGACCUCAGCCGCAGCUCAAGCCCUGGUCCAGGCAGGCUUCUCGACGCUCGGGGAGUCGGGGUACUGAGCCUCGGAGUCAGGGGUGCUGCGCCCCGGGCAGACCUCCUUCCUCUUUUCCAGUCAUAGGCUCCGUAUGUGAACUCGUUUGCAUCUCUGCGGGCUUUAAAUGUUGCACAACUCCACGGAAGAAGAAACUCUGCCACAAGGCCCGUUCCUAUUGCAAAGCCCCAUGUCUUUGAGAUGUCUGUUUCUACUCCACCACUCUCGGCUGAGGCCAUGUGAAAGCUUAUGUGAGCACCUUGCAUCACAGGAUAAACACGAGGCUGCUCUCUGUCCCUUCAGGACGAAGGAGCGGUGGGGAAGUCACAGGACACUCACCUGAGGAUCCAUCCACUCCCACCACCCAGGUCCAGCAGCAGUGAGUGACCAGAAGCAGGCCAUUGCCAGGUAUCCUUGAAGGGCAGGGAGUCUGUCCAGCCACGCCCAGGAAAGCACGCCCGUCCUGGAGCAUGUUCGGGUGUGGCCUUGGAAGAUAUGCAACUGAGAGCAGAGGUCAGAACAGAACCAGAUCAGAAGGGCUUUGCUUGGCCAGGCCGUUUGGCUCUGCAGCACACCUGGAUCCCAUUCCUAGACUGUCCGGCUCUGAUUGGUGCCCACUGCAGGCUCCGCCUCCAGCUCUUUGGAUGAGAAAAUAUGGACGCCUGUGUUUUAAGAACUGAAACUGUCCUGGGACCUCGGCCCACUGGAGUUUGCUGCCACAUUUAAGGUGGUUCCUCCCAGCUCCGUUAAUUCCAUCUAGAGAGUACCUCACCCACACGGACAGGUUUGUCUCCCAGGUGAUUCUAGACCCUGUCAAACUGGCUGUAUUAAAGUGUCACGUGCUGGUUGCUGUAAGGACAGUCCCCAGAAGCUGCCUUCUCUAAGCACCCACAGUGCUGAGACUCUGGCCUUGACCGCUCAUACUUCAAGUUGGGCUGCAUUUCUGAGAGUUCUGCUACAGGGGCAUGGCUGUGCUCUCCCGGGGCAGGGGCCUCCCCAGGUUCAGAACCCUUGAAUCACCACUAUCUAUCUCCCUCUGCCCUUUUCCCUCCUUCCUGGCCCCCUCUCUUAAAAACCUUACUGUGCGGCAUGGAGAACCCCAGCAGGAGCUCCUGCAGGGAGAGAGAAGGCACACUGGUGAGGAAGCUUGCUUCUUUCUCAGCUGUAGCUGGGGCCAAGCCUACAGCCUCUUGUCAGUAAGUACACCCAGGGCUGCAGAGAAAGGCCCCAUCAUUGGGAAAGAGAAGGGGCUUUCAAGUCUUUCACUUUCCUGUCUGUCAUUGUUCUUAAAGUUUCAGGGUAAAACUAGGGCCUAAUGCAGCCACGAAACACCCGAGCUGUUCAAGGCAGGCCUUGUGCAAAACGCUGCAGGAUUUCGGACAGGAAGUUGUGUGGCUGUGUGGGCGUGAGGACCAGCUUCCUCCCUCUCUGACACUUUCUACGCUUUGGGGACCUUGCUCAGCAGUCUCCCCUCCCCCAAGCCCAGCAGACCCUCCUGAGGCCUCACACAGCCUCUGCCCCAGCAAGAGUGAAAACAGCAGGGUGAAUCCCAUCCUCUCUCAUCCCUGUCCCUCAUCUCCCCUAGACACGUGACCAUUUCUGACACCACACAGGACUUUCACUUCUUCAGAGUAGAAGCACUUGUAGAGUGUCUGGUUUUCGGAAUACUUGUCCUACCCUGCUUUCUCAGAGGAGGCUUGAUCUUGUUAUCCUUGUCUGGGUUCCUUGCCUCUGAAAGCAUAGUUUCUAGGUAACAAGCAGGGGCGGUCUGUAUACCCUGUAGCUACGGAGGGAGUCUCAGGAGUUCAGAAGCUAAUUUGAAUAGAGUUAUUGAUAGUGGAUAGAGCAAUUUGCAUACUGGAACUAAGUGGGUGGCUCUAGGAUGUUUAGGAAAUGACCCACAGAGUCUGUAGAUUCUGGGGCUCCAAAUCCAUUUCUCACAGAUGGGCUACCCUUAACUGCAGUCCCUGCCAACAUUCUGCUACAAGAACAUGUCAGAUUCAGAUUCCAGUAGCAGGAGCCUGCCCUGAUCAGCUGCUGGGAAGGCACUGUGGCCCAACUUGAAGAACUCUUGAAUUAGUGCCUCCCUCUCCUGGAACCUGAGAGCCUUGAUCUACAAACUGAAGGGCAGAAGGCAUGACUUUAACGCUUCACGGACUUAAAAUGCUGUAUCCUGUGAUUCUCCCAGCAGACGUAAACCUUGUCAUCUAACAGCAGCCUUCUUCAGCCUCAGAAAGGAACUGUGCAAUUUUAGCCCUUGCAUGUUAAGAGACCAGGAGGAGGGGUGCCUUCCAAGGCAGAGGGGCUUGCAGAGUAGCCAAUAUCAAGCCCUUCGUCCAGGAAGGGCUACAGUCUAUUCUCUUUCUUCCUGUUGCUUUUCUCCUUCUCUCAGACUUUGUUAACAUGUGCACGGUAUGUGUACACAUGUUCUUAUGUACCAGCACGUGUGCAUUCGUGCACACGGAGGGCAGAGGUCAACGCUGGAAGUCCUCCUCCUCCAGUGCUUACCCCUGCUUUUUUCUUCUUCCUCCCUCUUCCAUGUCCCCCAGACAGGGUUUUCAACUAAAUCCAGGACUCACCAUCGAGCUGGACUGCUGCCUGCUGGCUUCACCUGCCUCUCCUCAGCAGUGCUGAGGCUGCUGGUGUGCCCCAAGGGUACCUGGCCUUCACCGUUUACAGGGAUGACGGGGAUUGGAAUGAGGUUCUGCAUGACAAGCACUUCACGGGCUGCGUGAUCUCACCAUCGGAGCCUCUUUCUCUUCCCUUUUCUCUUCUUUCGUUUUGUUUUUUUUUUUUUUUUUUUUUUUUUGCCUCCAUACUUACAACAAAGUCCUUUCCUUUCUGUCCCCGAUUCUUGUUCCCGUUACAAGAAGGUUCCAUCUAGCCAAGCCGUGGUGGUGCACGCUUUAACCCCAGCACUUAGGAGGCAGAGGCAGGUGGACCUCUGAGUUUGAGGCCAGCCUGGUAUACAGAGUGAGUUCCAGAACAGCCAGGGCCACACAGAGAAAGCCUGUCUCAAACAGCAACUACAACAACAACAACAGCAAACAAGAAACAAAAAAAUGGCUCCAACUUCCACAACAUUGAGAGUCCAGGGAAACUUCGAGGAGGGCAAAGGCUGCUCUCCUGGGUUUUCUUACAGCUUUACUUGGCCUUCUGGUGUGUCUGCAAGAACAGGCACUUCCCAUCGACUGUGGAUGAACACGAGGGGUGCCGGCAGUAGGAUGACCUACCCAGAGGAGGAACUCUAUGAGCC
rnacentral:sRNA from 1 species